AAGUCGUAACAAGGUUUCCGUAGGUGAACCUGCGGAAGGAUCAUCAUUGAAUCUAUAUUCUACAAACACUUGUGAACAAUGGCCAUUCGCCCGCGGUGAGUGCGCCAUGCAUGCUUAUGUGUCUGAUGUUGGCAGAGUCUGUGUACGUGCACGAGCCGGUAUGGCUUUGCACUGCAGCCCGCCAAUACCAUGACCCUCAAUACAAACACUGUUUACAACCACCAAACUAAUACAAUUUAUAUGCAAUAUAUAAAACAACUUUCAACAAUGGAUCUCUUGGCUCUC
rnacentral:misc_RNA from 1 species